AUUGAACGCUGGCGGCAUGCUUUACACAUGCAAGUCGAACGGUAACAGGCCGCAAGGUGCUGACGAGUGGCGAACGGGUGAGUAAUGCAUCGGAACGUGCCCAGUCGUGGGGGAUAACGCAGCGAAAGCUGCGCUAAUACCGCAUACGAUCUAUGGAUGAAAGCGGGGGACCGUAAGGCCUCGCGCGAUUGGAGCGGCCGAUGUCAGAUUAGGUAGUUGGCGGGGUAAAGGCUCACCAAGCCAACGAUCUGUAGCUGGUCUGAGAGGACGACCAGCCACACUGGGACUGAGACACGGCCCAGACUCCUACGGGAGGCAGCAGUGGGGAAUUUUGGACAAUGGGCGCAAGCCUGAUCCAGCAAUGCCGCGUGCAGGAAGAAGGCCUUCGGGUUGUAAACUGCUUUUGUACGGAACGAAAAGGUCUGGGUUAAUACCCUGGGCACAUGACGGUACCGUAAGGAUAAGCACCGGCUAACUACGUGCCAGCCGCCGCAGUAAAAC
rnacentral:rRNA from 1 species